rnacentral:rRNA from 1 species
ACAUAGGAGUGCUUGCACUUNUGAUGACGACCGGCGCACGGGUGCGUAACGCGUAUACAACCUACCUUUUAGCGGGGAAUAGCCCAGGGAAACUUGGAUUAAUGCCCCAUAGUAUGGAAAUAUCUCCUGAUAUUUUCAUUAAACAUUUAUGGCUAUUAGAUGGGUAUGCGUCCUAUUAGUUAGUUGGUAAGGUAACGGCUUACCAAGGCAGCGAUAGGUAGGGGUCCUGAGAGGGAGAUCCCCCACACUGGUACUGAGACACGGACCAGACUCCUACGGGAGGCAGCAGUGAGGAAUAUUGGACAAUGGGCGAGAGCCUGAUCCAGCCAUGCCGCGUGCAGGAAGACUGCCCUAUGGGUUGUAAACUGCUUUUACAGAGGAAGAACCACCCCCUCGUGAGGGGGUUUGACGGUACUCUGCGAAUAAGGAUCGGCUAACUCCGUGCCAGCAGCCGCGGUAAUACGGAGGAUCCAAGCGUUAUCCGGAAUCAUUGGGUUUAAAGGGUCCGUAGGCGGGCAGUUAAGUCAGUGGUGAAAGUCUUCCGCUCAACGGGAGAACUGCCAUUGAUACUGAUUGUCUUGAGUUAUUAUGAAGUGGUUAGAAUGAGUAGUGUAGCGGUGAAAUGCAUAGAUAUUACUCAGAAUACCGAUUGCGAAGGCAGAUCACUAAUAAUAUACUGACGCUGAUGGACGAAAGCGUAGGUAGCGAACAGGAUUAGAUACCCUGGUAGUCUACGCCGUAAACGAUGGUUACUAGCUGUUCGGAUCGAUUGAGAUCUGAGUGGUUAAGCGAAAGUGAUAAGUAACCCACCUGGGGAGUACGUUCGCAAGAAUGAAACUCAAAGGAAUUGACNGGGGCCCGCACAAGCGGUGGAGCAUGUGGUUUAAUUCGAUGAUACGCGAGGAACCUUACCAGGGCUUAAAUGUAGUCUGACAGGGGUGGAA